rnacentral:lncRNA from 1 species
AGUUACCGAUGUUGAACUUUAUGACAGCCUCCCCUGUCAUUCUCUCGCCUGUUGAAACUUCAGUCAUGAAACUGAUCAAUGAUCGGCUUUUCUCUCUUGUUUGUUUAUCGUGCUAAACAACAGCAGCACAUUUAAGCUUGAUCAGCUGUUGUUAGAAUUCAUUUGAUUUUAAUUUCUAGUAUCAGAUGAUGUUUGCUGGAGCCACAGCUGAAAAAAGGGCUGGUCCAAACCAGGAGAGGUCCUUACUGAAUCAUCAGAGCUGAACUGGUGAUGGAGAAACAGGUUUACCUUUUAGGUGACAUGAAUGAGUUGAAGGGAAGUUAUGAGCUGUUUCUGAGAGACAAAUAAACACCAAGCUCCUUUUUUGUGUAGCUGACAGCUGGUAACUGUGCAGGGGCGGAUCUAGCAAAGGUUUUGCCAGGGGGCCAGGUAGGGCAUUAACAGAGAAAGGUGGACACAAAGAUAUACUUUUCUUUCUUACUCUCAUAUAAAAUAUUUAUCUUUUAUUAAAUAGUUAUCUGAAUCUUACAACCAAAGUUUGUAUAACAAUACACAAGAUUGGCUGUAGACCAUUGUUAAUCAUUCAGAACACUGUGUAAAAAUAACAAAAAACAAAAAGUGAAUGCAAAAGUGCAUAAAUAUUUAUUUUACGUGUUUGAUGUGUGUGGCGGGGCGUGGUCUGCAGUCCCGCUGCAGGGGAGGUGGACCCACGGGCGUAAAGUCUGUGCUCUCUCGGCUGUUUUUUGGGUGUGUGUCGGGCUGUGAGUUGAAAAGCUACAGCCGGCUGUGUGGGUACACCAACCAUGUGUGAAAAGUGGUCCAUAACGUAAUGCUUCAAAGCGUGUUCAUGCAAACAUUGUUGGGUCUGACGUGGUACAAUGGGACUUCUGCUCAUGAACCUGUGUGCACAGCGUCUGCAAAUCGGGGCUGUACGAAGUAACUUCAUCUUUACACAAAACUGUCAUCAACAAACAUGGGCAGGAUGCUUUUUCUUCUCACUGCUCUCUUAGGAGUUGUUUUCUGUAGUCAUGGUAAGCUGUCUGGACCAGAGUUAGUGGUAAGAGUCAGCCCGGGCGAUAACAUCACUCUUCACUGCGACUGCCAAAGAUCAAGCGGCAAAUUCAUAGCUUGGUUUAGGAACUGUUCUCAUGAGAACCAGCCUUCACUCAUUCUAAGGACAAACUACAAAUAUGAUCCAUCAUACCUUGAGGACAAAGUAAAUAUUCUCAAUCCAUUCCCUCGUUUGCAUUUAGUGGAAAACCAGUCUUCUGACUCCUAUGACCUGUUGAUCAUGAACACUACUGAUUCUGAUGAGGGUCUCUACUACUGUGGAACUGAACAGAAGGAGGUUGACACAACAUUUUCUCAGAAAUAUAUUUACAAAUACAGCAACAUCACAACCAGGAUUCUGAUGAACUCCACUGUGACUUGUCAUGACAUCCGCAAACCUCAGGAGGACUGUAGCCUGUGCUGGAAGCUGCUUUUCACUCUGUGUCCUUUUAUUGUUGCUCUCUUCUCUCUCUUCUCCUCUGUACUGUUUUACCAGCUUCGCCAAAAAAUAGAAAAUAAUAAAUCUCAAGAUGACAUGAAGACAACUGAAAGCCAAAGUCACAUAAAACAGGAUGAAGAUGUGUGUUAUGCUGCUCUGGAAAUUCGUCAAGCAUCACAGAGACCAAAAAAGAAGAAAAUUCAAAGUUCAGACUUUAGCACAUAUUCCUCCAUCAAUACUUCCCAGAUAUAAGAAUAUUCACAUUUAAAAAUAUGAUAACAAGGUAGUUUUCUACCACAUUUAAGAUGAAAAGCAAAUGAUAGAUUUGGACCUUCUUGUUUUAUCAGCUUUUCAAACCAACUUUGACAUGCUAUUCACAAACCCGUGAUUUUAUCUUGUUUUCAGUCGCUUUGGCUGAAGACCUUUGAUGACUUGAUAUUGUUGUACUGCUUAAUAGAUUCCUCACAGCAGAUAUUUCCAGAAGUAAACUGUGUUGAAUUAAUAGUGGCAUAAAAAGAGAAUGAAGUUUGCCUAGUUAGUUCAAAUAAAGUUGUACUGUGAAGGAAGAUUACCGACUAAGGAAGUGUGUUAAGCCUAAAUAGAGCAUUGUGAGAGAAAAACGUACAUGAAUUGAAAUGGCGAUACAGUAAAUUAAUGAUUGUGUAACUGACUGAUUGCAACUGUUUUUGUAAUAUUGACUAAUGCAGCACAUUAGAAAUCUUUCAGUCUAUUUGUAGACAGAUUAUUCAAUCAGUAAAUGUAACUUUUUGAUUUGUCAAAAACUAACAUGAAUUUAACAUUUUCCUCAUUUUGGGGUAAUGUCUGACCUGAAUGCGCUUCAUUAGUAUGUCCAUAUUACUUUAUUAUAUCUAAUUUGAUGUAGUCAAAAGUUUAAUGGUUUAAUGAGAACCGGUGAAAUGAUAAUCAGCACUCAGUCUGUUGAGUGGUAAAUUAAUGCAUUACCUUGGCUAAGUGACAGUUUUCUGCAGCAUGCAUAAUUUCCCUAGUGUUGUAUUUGCUGUUGUAGUUUUUCUUUGUAGAUUUCUAUCGCCUAUUUCUCUUAUAAUGUCCCAUCUAAAGUAGAUGGCAUUCAGUCUGUCCAUUUUUCGAGCAACAAUAGUCAAACCAUUCCUCAAAUACCCCCUUUUAUGUGAGCGUGCAUAGAGCCUGAAGUCUGGGUUAAGGGUGAAAGUUAUGUUUCCAUUUAUGUUUUGUCAAUGCAAAUAAAACCUGGCUAUGGUCAGCCUCUAAUCAUACAAUAUUUGCGGGCCUAAACAAAUUAGAGGAGUGCAAAAAUUAAGAAGGCAAGGCAAAUAAUACAGGCUUCACGAUUUAUCUUAUCAGAUUUGUCUUAAUAAUGCAAAACUGACUUUGAAUCCAAGACCACAUUUGCCUCUUGGUUAGUUUUACAGUUGAGUUUGAAAUUUCUUGUUUUCUGUUUUAAAGGAAUUGCAUUAGUAUCUUUUCAUCUCUCUGAAUGCUGAAAUGAUUUCUGACAUUGUUUAUUUACUUGUUUUUUAAUACUUUGAAGUUCUGUUUUACUUUUUUUUACUGUCAUCUUUUAUUAUGUUUUAAACUGUAAAGCGAUGUUGUUUUUAAAUGUGCUUGUUUAUAAAUAAAGAGACUCAAUU